UUUUAUGGAGAGUUUGAUCCUGGCUCAGGAUGAACGCUGGCGGCGUGCCUAAUACAUGCAAGUCGAGCGAACGGACGAGAAGCUUGCUUCUCUGAUGUUAGCGGCGGACGGGUGAGUAACACGUGGAUAACCUACCUAUAAGACUGGGAUAACUUCGGGAAACCGGAGCUAAUACCGGAUAAUAUUUUGAACCGCAUGGUUCAAAAGUGAAAGACGGUCUUGCUGUCACUUAUAGAUGGAUCCGCGCUGCAUUAGCUAGUUGGUAAGGUAACGGCUUACCAAGGCAACGAUGCAUAGCCGACCUGAGAGGGUGAUCGGCCAUACUGGAACUGAGACACGGUCCAGACUCCUACGGGAGGCAGCAGUAGGGAAUCUUCCGCAAUGGGCGAAAGCCUGACGGAGCAACGCCGCGUGAGUGAUGAAGGUCUUCGGAUCGUAAAACUCUGUUAUUAGGGAAGAACAUAUGUGUAAGUAACUGUGCACAUCUUGACGGUACCUAAUCAGAAAGCCACGGCUAACUACGUGCCAGCAGCCGCGGUAAUACGUAGGUGGCAAGCGUUAUCCGGAAUUAUUGGGCGUAAAGCGCGCGUAGGCGGUUUUUUAAGUCUGAUGUGAAAGCCCACGGCUCAACCGUGGAGGGUCAUUGGAAACUGGAAAACUUGAGUGCAGAAGAGGAAAGUGGAAUUCCAUGUGUAGCGGUGAAAUGCGCAGAGAUAUGGAGGAACACCAGUGGCGAAGGCGACUUUCUGGUCUGUAACUGACGCUGAUGUGCGAAAGCGUGGGGAUCAAACAGGAUUAGAUACCCUGGUAGUCCACGCCGUAAACGAUGAGUGCUAAGUGUUAGGGGGUUUCCGCCCCUUAGUGCUGCAGCUAACGCAUUAAGCACUCCGCCUGGGGAGUACGACCGCAAGGUUGAAACUCAAAGGAAUUGACGGGGACCCGCACAAGCGGUGGAGCAUGUGGUUUAAUUCGAAGCAACGCGAAGAACCUUACCAAAUCUUGACAUCCUUUGACAACUCUAGAGAUAGAGCCUUCCCCUUCGGGGGACAAAGUGACAGGUGGUGCAUGGUUGUCGUCAGCUCGUGUCGUGAGAUGUUGGGUUAAGUCCCGCAACGAGCGCAACCCUUAAGCUUAGUUGCCAUCAUUAAGUUGGGCACUCUAAGUUGACUGCCGGUGACAAACCGGAGGAAGGUGGGGAUGACGUCAAAUCAUCAUGCCCCUUAUGAUUUGGGCUACACACGUGCUACAAUGGACAAUACAAAGGGCAGCGAAACCGCGAGGUCAAGCAAAUCCCAUAAAGUUGUUCUCAGUUCGGAUUGUAGUCUGCAACUCGACUACAUGAAGCUGGAAUCGCUAGUAAUCGUAGAUCAGCAUGCUACGGUGAAUACGUUCCCGGGUCUUGUACACACCGCCCGUCACACCACGAGAGUUUGUAACACCCGAAGCCGGUGGAGUAACCUUUUAGGAGCUAGCCGUCGAAGGUGGGACAAAUGAUUGGGGUGAAGUCGUAACAAGGUAGCCGUAUCGGAAGGUGCGGCUGGAUCACCUCCUUUCUAA
rnacentral:rRNA from 1 species